GACGAACCGUGCAAACGUUGUUCGGAAUCACUGGGCUUAAAGGGCGCGUAGGCGGGCUCCCAAGUCGGUGGUGAAAUCUUUCGGCCCAACCGGAAAAGUGCCGCCGAUACUGGGAGUCUCGAGGGAGGUAGGGGUCGAUGGAACUUCCGGUGGAGCGGUGAAAUGCGUAGAUAUCGGAAGGAACGCCGGUGGCGAAAGCGAUCGACUGGACCUUUUCUGACGCUGAGGCGCGAAAGCCAGGGGAGCAAACGGG
rnacentral:rRNA from 1 species